CCCACCAGAAAAUAUCCCCAACCCAAAAUUGCUUAAAAGAGAAAAAAGAAAACCAAGAUUUUUAUUUCACUUUUUGCCUUAUAAUUCCACUCUUUCAAGGCCUCUUCAUCUUCUUCGAGGAUUCGAUACCAAGGUCUUUGCUGGUGGUAUCUGUCGAUUGCUGUUGCGUUUCUGGGAAACUGGAUUAGGGUUUUGUUCUUCCAAUUUGUGGUAUUCAUU
rnacentral:misc_RNA from 1 species